CUUUGCAAUUUCUCUCUGCAAUUUCACAUUCCCCCCUGUUCUUCCAAUCUCCGUCAUUUUUUUUUUGUUUUUUUAAAAUGGGUCUAAUCUGUCAUAAGAGGAACCUAAAUUUCUUAAAAAUCACAGCAACCUUAAAAGCAAGAACCCAAAAUCGUAAAGCUAACAACUUUUGCUCCAAAACCCAAAACAACAGCAACAUAGUCAAUGAAAUCACAACGUUUCUCAACCAAAAAAAUUGGGAGUCUUUAUUACCUUUGGUGUCGAAUAAGCUGAGCCCAGAUGUUGUUCACUCAGUUAUUACAAAACAGGUAAAUGAUCCUAAACGUUUGUUAGAUUUCUUCAACUGGGUUCAGUUUCAAAUGGGUUUCUCUCAAAAGUUACAAUCUUUUUCGAUUCUUGCAUUAAUUUUAUGCAAUUCAAGGCUCUUUUCCAGGGCUGAUAGUGUUGUAAAUCAAAUGAUAAUGAUGUCUAGUGGUGGAUAUUCAGAGAUUUUGGAUUCAUUAAUUAAGUCUUGUAAAGAGUUUGAUUUGAAUAAUGGUAAUGGUAAUGAAAAUAGUAAUAAUAAUGAUCGCGGGGUAGUUUUUGAGUUGUUGAUUGAUGGGUAUAAAAAGAAAGGGCUUUUUGAUGAGGCUGUUAGUUUUUUUUUGGGCGCGAAAAGGAAUGGCUUUGUUGUUGGCUUGUUGUGUUGCAAUGGGUUGUUGAGUGAUUUGCUGAAAGCUAACAAAUUGGAGUUGUUUUGGAGAUUUUAUAAUGGGAUGUUAGAGGCUAACGUGUUGCAUGAUGUCUAUACUUAUACCCAUUUAAUAAAUGCACAUUUUAGAGCAGGGAAUGCUAAGGAGGGUAAACGCUUGCUUUUUGAAAUGGAAGAGAAGGGCUGUAGUCCUAGUUUGGUUACUUACAAUGUGGUGAUUGGUGGGUUGUGUAGAGCUGGGGAGGUUGAUGAAGCGUUUGAGUUGAAGAAGUUGAUGGACAACAAGGGUUUGGUCGCGGAUGUUUUUACUUAUAGUAUACUUAUUGAUGGGUUUGGUAAACAGAAGAGAUGUACUGAGGCGAAGUUGAUGUUGAAAGAGAUGUUUAGCAAGGGUUUAAAACCUGGCCACGUUGCCUAUACUGCUUUGAUUGAUGGGUUCAUGAGACAAGGUGACAGCGGAGAAGCAUUUCGGGUCAAGGAGGAGAUGCUUGCUCGUGGAGUUAAAUUGAAUCUUUUUACAUACAAUGCUCUUGUUAAAGGGGUGUGUAAGUUUGGUGAUAUGGAGAAGGCAAAUGCUCUUUUAAAUGAAAUGAUUAUGGUGGGGAUAAAACCUGAUACCCAGACUUAUAAUAAUAUGAUUGAGGGAUAUUUGAAGGAACAGAAUACAUCACGGGUUAAAGAUUUAUUGUCUGAGAUGAAGAAGAGUAACUUGGUGCCCACUGCAUACACUUGCGGCAUGAUAAUCAAUGGUCUAUGUCGCCAUGGAUCUAUUGAAGAUGCCAGUAGAGUGUUUGAGAUUAUGGUUUCUCUGGGUGUGAAACCGAAUGCUGUAAUCUACACAACUUUAAUAAAAGGUCAUGUUCAGGAAGGGAGAUUUCAAGAGGCAGUGAGAAUUUUAAAGGUAAUGGAUAAGAAAGGGGUUCAGCCUGAUGUAUUAUGCUAUAAUUCUGUAAUCAUUGGCCUCUGCAAGGCUAGAAAAAUGGAAGAAGCAAAGGAUUAUUUGGUUGAAAUGAUUGAGAGGGGACUUAAGCCAAAUGUGUAUACUUAUGGGGCUUUAAUACAUGGAUAUUGCAAGUCAGGGGAAAUGCAAGUAGCUGACAGGUACUUCAAGGAGAUGCUAGGUUGUGGUAUAGCACCAAAUGAUGUUGUUUGCACAGCCCUGAUCGACGGGUACUGCAAGGAGGGUAGCACUAUGGAAGCCACUUCAAUUUUUAGAUGUAUGCUAGGACGGUCAGUGCACCCAGAUGUGCGGACUUACAGUGCCCUCAUCCAUGGUCUCUUGAGGAAUGGGAAGCUUCAAGGAGCAAUGGAGCUGCUAUCCGAAUUUCUUGAAAAGGGAUUGGUGCCUGAUGUCUUUACCUACAACUCUAUCAUUUCUGGCUUUUGCAAGCAAGGUGGUAUAGGGAAGGCUUUUCAACUUCAUGAAUACAUGUGCCAAAAAGGCAUCAGUCCUAACAUCAUCACUUACAAUGCUUUGAUCAAUGGACUUUGCAAGGCAGGCGAGAUAGAAAGAGCCCGGGAGCUGUUUGACGGAAUUCCAGGAAAGGGUUUGGCUCAUAAUGCUGUGACCUAUGCGACUAUCAUAGAUGGGUAUUGCAAAUCUGGAAAUCUAAGCAAGGCAUUUCGGUUAUUUGAUGAGAUGACAUUGAAGGGGGUCCCACCUGAUAGCUUUGUCUACAGUGCCCUCAUUGAUGGAUGUCGCAAAGAAGGAAAUACUGAAAAGGCCCUGUCCCUAUUCUUAGAAUCAGUGCAGAAGGGCUUUGCUUCCACUUCUUCUCUCAAUGCUUUGAUGGAUGGGUUCUGCAAGUCUGGGAAGGUGAUUGAAGCUAAUCAGUUGUUGGAAGACAUGGUCGAUAAGCAUGUCAAACCAGAUCACGUGACCUACACAAUUCUGAUUGAUUAUCAUUGCAAGACAGGUUUUUUGAAGGAAGCAGAGCAGUUCUUUGUUGAUAUGCAAAAGAGGAAUCUGAUGCCAAAUGCUUUAACUUAUACAGCACUUUUAAGUGGUUACAACAUGGCGGGGCGCAGAUCUGAGAUGUUUGCUCUUUUUGAUGAAAUGAUUGCAAAAGAUAUUGAACCUGAUGGUGUUACCUGGAGUGUAAUGAUUGAUGCUCAUCUCAAAGAAGGUGACCAUGCGAAAACUUUGAAGCUGGUGGAUGACAUGUUGAGGAAGGGUGGUAAUGUGAGCAAAAACGUGUGUCAUGUGCUAAUUGAUGCAUUGUGCAGAAAGGAACAUGUUUCUGAAGUGCUGAAGGUACUUGAGAAAAUAGAAGAGCAAGGAUUAAAUCUCAGUCUCGCUACUUGCAGCACUCUAGUACGCUGUUUUCACAAAGCAGGCAAAAUGGAUGGUGCAGCCAGGGUCUUAAAGAGCAUGGUCAGAUUCAAAUGGGUUCCAGACUUCACUGAAUUAAAUGACUUAAUCAAUGUGGAACAAGACAGUACAGACUCUGAGAAUGCUGGUGAUUUCUUAAAGCAAAUGGCAUGGGAAGUUGCUUGCCAGGAAUUAAGCGAUGGGCUUAGGCAGCAACGGUGGCAGCCAAGUCUCAUGUUCAUACAAUGUUGCUCGAUACUAAAACGGUGUAACAAUAAAUUUACACUGUGUAUCUUUGCUCGGAAGGUUAUCAAAACAAGGUUUUGGUUGGAGAAUUUGGAGAGAAAGGAAUGCCAACUACAGACAUCACAGAGGGACACUUAAUACCUCCGGGAUAGCUACAGUUUUCCAUGAGGUGCUGGCCCUCAGAAUUUGAAAUGGACCACCAUUGGUUUGAAGCCAAGGCCUUAAUCUCUCCACCAAGUAAAAGCAGAAAAUAGUAAGUCAGAGGGAUAAGAAUAAAUGCAUGAGGCAUUGAUUUGGUUUAGUGGCCACUGACCAAGAUAGCAGAUGAAGGCUUGAAGCAGGCUGCUAUCGCCAUCAGCCUUUGGCACUGGCUGCAAACAUAAAAACUUGCAGCUGCGGCAACUAAGAUUAUGGCUUUGAAAGCGAGCAGAGCAGCGCUGGGCAGAAGAUGACCAUGAUUUUAACUUUUGUCAUGUCUUCCAGUUCUCUGUGUAUUUGAGUUACGAGGUUGUAUACCCUCUUGCAUCUAAUGAUGCUCUUUUGUAUCUUCAAGGUCUAGACCUCGGCAAUGUUCAAAUUUAAAGCAGUUUCAUCCGAGGUGCAUUGCAUGGGUAGUAGUAUUUUAUUCCUUUUGGUAUCCAGCUAAGCAAUAAAGAAGAAACCUAGCGAUCUGGAGGAUACCUGCAAGGACAACGUUGUACUGAUGUUUUGUUACUCGAUGUAUUAACUAUAAUUAUAAUUAAGACAUGCUCUUAGACCA